GCGCCGGUGGUGUAAGGCGAACAUCGCUGCCCGACAGAAGAUGCGGGUUCGAGUCCCGCUUGGCGCA
rnacentral:tRNA from 1 species